rnacentral:rRNA from 1 species
GAAUAGGAGAGUGUGCUUGUGCUCGUGGUAUGGUCGUCGUCGCGUGAGCUCAUGGAAGAUCCGAGAGGCGGCGACUGGCGGCGGCCGACGCGCUGCCCGGCAGCGGGCGCGGAGGGUGGUGUCGUGCGGCGUUACCUCCGGCUCGCGGGUACCGCAGUGGGCUCCUGUGGAAGCUCGGCGGCAAGAGGAAGUUUAAGCAGCCCUAGGUCGGACUAGGCCUGCCUAGGCCUACGGCCGCCGGGUAAGGGCUGGAGGGACGGAGCGGACCAAACAGCCGGUGAGGCUACAGCAGUAGAAACAGUGCCCUAGGUCGCGAUGGCUACCGACCGGAGGAGGAGCGGACCUACACUGGGGGGUGCGACAGCGGAGGUUAGGUUCGUCGCCGUCGCUUGUGGAGCUGUUCCCGUCAAACGGUCUAGUCACCGGUCUCUUUUCGGUACCGCUACUUCAGACUAACUACUAGGCGCUCGCGAGCCGCCGCGAACUACACCACCUACGUCUUAUCAUAUCGAGGCCCAUCUCAUGAUCCGGUCUAGACCUUUUUUUAGACAUGAAGGUAAAAAACAACACAUAAAGAAGGAAAAAACUAUUUCUUCAAUACAUAUACCAUAUAUAUAUAUAUAUACGUUUGAGG